UUCCCAAAUCCCCCAAAUCUCACCGUCUCCCGCCACCAUCCCCUCCCCCACUGACAGCCCAACGACCGCCCAACGACCGGCGCCCUCUGACCCGCACCGUCCCUCGGCCAGCUCUGUCUCUCUCUCUCUCUCACCCAGUAGACCGGCGCCCACCGAUCGGCCGAUCUACCGGCGGCCAACGACCGACCAACCCUCGCCCAGAUCUCUCUCUCUCUCGGACCCAGCAAACCCGAGCGCCGCCCACGAGCACUGCGAAUCUUCGACCAGAGCCAACCACUCUCGACAACAUCCAGGAGCUCGUUGUUCUCUCAUUCUCUCUCUGCAAAUCACGCGCAAGCAGCCUAACUGCAGGGGAAAAUUUUUUCAGGGGAGCAGCUACAUGAAAUGGUGGGAAGAGUACAAGAAAAUUAUCCGAAAAGGCAGAUGACGAUCUAGCAGCAGCAGCUGCUGAGGCUGCUAAUGGAAGACCAGUGUAUUGCAAAGAUAGGUUUUAUCGUGCAUUAGCAGGUGUACAGUACUCUAAAUGGGAGGAUCUAGUCAAAUAAAUGGAAAGA